UACGAAGGGGGCUAGCGUUGCUCGGAAUCACUGGGCGUAAAGCGCACGUAGGCGGCAUCUUAAGUCAGUGGUGAAAUCCUGGAGCUCAACUCCAGAACUGCCUCUGAUACUGAGAUGCUUGAGUCCGGGAGAGGUGAGUGGAACUGCGAGUGUAGAGGUGAAAUUCGUAGAUAUUCGCAAGAACACCAGUGGCGAAGGCGGCUCACUGGCCCGGUACUGACGCUGAGGUGCGAAAGCGUGGGGAGCAAACAGG
rnacentral:rRNA from 1 species